UUUAUAAGUGGUACCUUAUUUCCUACUUGAUAGAUGCAACUAUUUUUCAGGUUGCUAGGUCAGCAACGAGCAGGGGCUAUUUUUUUUUUAAUUGAUGGGUGCUCACCCCGCUACGGUCUGGCCUCGAACUCAUGACCUCAUGAUCAGAGUGAUUUAUUGUAGCUGCUCAACAGCCUGGCUUACCAUUUUGUUUUUGAAUAGUGAGGCUAUUUAUGAAAAGGAAUAACAUACUCCUCCCAUAGAAGUAUAUUUUAAUAUGGCUAGAAGUCACUCAUUUUAGAGACUUUGAUAUAACAAUGUUUGAUUUCUCCCACCACAUGAUCUGUAUUUUCAGAAACCACUUCACCACUUAAGAAAUUAUGAUAAACUCAUAAGCCGAGAUAUUUAUUUCUUACAGAGUAAUUAAAGAAAUGGCUUCAUCUCCUAUGGCAGAAGACAUAAAUGGAUUUAUGGUUAUCAAUAAAGAUAUUGAACAAUACUGGGCCCAUGACAUCACUUGUCACUUCUCUCAAGAUGGGAAACACUGGGAAACACUCUCUGAUGAUGUGAAUCAGUGACUGGCUCGACCUUGAAGGAACUGGGGGCGGUGACGGCCGACAGGGAGCUCUGGCGUGGACUGGUCCAUGAGGUCACGAAGAGUCGAAAACAACUGAACGAGUGAGACGACGACGACUUUUACCCUAACCACUUUGUGUUUUAAAUUUAAAAAAAAUCAAUUUUCAAUUAGAGAAAAGUGAUGUUGUAAGUUUUGUGAAUUAUGUUAUAAACAGCUUUUGGAAAAUUUAAUAUUUUUGACUGCAAUAUCCAUAAUCUUUCAGUUAGCACAAUCACUGAAACAAUAAGAUCUUCGGACCAUAGAAUGAUGGAUGGUGACUGCUUAUCUUUCCAACCUUGAGGAUACAGUGUUCCCUCACUACUUUGCAGUUCACUUUUUGCGGACUCGCUGUUUCACAGUUUUUCAUUAAACACUAAAAUAAUAUUAUAAAUCAUAAAAAAAUUAUGAUUUACAGUGGCAGUGAUCUCGGUUGGGUGUGGGCGGUAGGGCGGGGUGGAGAAGGAACCCAAGCGAUAGUGGGAGGAGGAGAAGGGGGCACCAUGUUCCCCUCCCUCUUUCUUCCCUCCCUCCCUCCCUUCCUUACUCUCUUUCUCUCUUUCUCCUUCCUUCCUAAGGAGAAGCCUAAGGAAGGAAGGAAGGAGACGCUGAAGGGAGAGAAAAGGAGGCUGGAGCAGCUUCGUUUUUGCCUCACAUGGCAGCGGCACCAGCGCAGCAGUGGGAGCAUGCAUGCACGUGCUUAAGAGGAGAGAAGGGGACAGAGACACUACUUGCCGAAUGAGAUUGUAAACAACAUAAAUAUAGCGUCCCUCCUUCACAUAUUUUCACUUUUUGUGGGUGGUCCUGGAAUGUAACACCUGCAAUAAGUGAGGGAACACUGUAUACUGUUGGAUCAAAGGCUCACGUAACUGGAUAUUUGGCUGGAAAACUCUGGGAUCAUCACCUUGACAUUUCACAGCCAACUGAGUAGAAAUGUAUCAUGCAUGUUCAUGUUUAAUGUAAGGCCUAAUCCAUAGAACUGGGUCCAGGGUAUUGUUAUCUGUCUUUGUCCUGCUUCUUCCAUGUGCUUCCUCCUCAUUCAGCCUUUAAACUUGCUAAUUUACUAUUUGUUUUAGACCCAGAAAAUACCUUUUUUUGUUAGCUGCCUGCUUGAAAGAAAAUUACGGCAAAAGACUCCACGAGCAAAUUCUUAGGACAUUAUUGCAUUAUCCACAAUUUUACUGUUUUUUUGUGAUGGAAAAUUUGUGUUCCUCAGAGUCUCUGAAAAGCCAAAUAAAACUGAUAAAUUUAUGCUGGCUGAAGCUUAAAAAUGUGGUCUUACACUGGAGAUUGUUAUAAGCUAUGGAGAAAAUGGAAACAAUUAAAGUAGUCAAGAAAACUUGGAUCUUCCACCUAUCCAAUAAAGAAGCUUGCCAGCAUUACUGUUUUACUUGUUUAAUGUUAUGACUAAAUUGACUGAGUCAUCAGUAAGAACUAAAUCCAUUGGUUUUUCUCUUGCAAAACGUAUACCUGUGAACUAAAACUCUCAAAAUUAUUUAUCCUAUGGCAUAAUGAUAAUUUAUCAUCUUACUAGACAGCUUGCAUAUUCCCAGUAGGA